GGGGAAUAUUGGACAAUGGGGGAAACCCUGAUCCAGCCAUGCCGCGUGUGUGAAGAAGGUCUUAGGAUUGUAAAGCACUUUAAGUUGGGAGGAAGAGCAGUUAACUAAUAUUUGACUGUUUUGACGUUACCGACAGAAUAAGCACCGGCUAACUUCGUGCCAGCAGCCGCGGUAAUACGAAGGGUGCAAGCGUUAAUCGGAAUUACUGGGCGUAAAGCGCGCGUAGGUGGUUCAGUAAGUUAGGAGUGAAAGCCCCGGGCUUAACCUGGGAAUUGCUUCUAAAACUGCUGAGCUAGAGUACGGUAGAGGGUGGUGGAAUUCCCGGUGUAGCGGUGAAAUGCGUAGAUAUUGGGAGGAAGACCAGUGGCGAAGGCGACUACCUGGACGAUAACUGACGCUGAGGCACGAAAGCUGGGGUAGCAAACA
rnacentral:rRNA from 1 species